rnacentral:rRNA from 1 species
UACGGAGGGGGCAAGCGUUGUUCGGAAUUACUGGGCGUAAAGGGCGCGCAGGCGGCUGCUCAAGUCAGGCGUGAAAGGCCUGGGCUCAACCCGGGAAUUGCGCUUGAGACUGGGCUGGCUUGAGUGCGGGAGAGGAUGGUGGAAUUCCCAGUGUAGAGGUGAAAUUCGUAGAUAUUGGGAAGAACACCGGUGGCGAAGGCGGCCAUCUGGACCGCAACUGACGCUGAGGCGCGAAAGCUAGGGGAGCAAACGGG